UACAGAGGUCUCAAGCGUUGUUCGGAUUCAUUGGGCGUAAAGGGCGCGUAGGCGGCACAGCAAGUCGGGAGUGAAAGCCCGGGGCUCAACCCCGGAACGGCUUCCGAAACUGCUGAGCUAGAGUGCGGAAGGGGCAACCGGAAUUCCCAGUGUAGCGGUGAAAUGCGUAGAUAUUGGGAAGAACACCCGAGGCGAAGGCGGGUUGCUGGGCCGACACUGACGCUGAGGCGCGAAAGCCAGGGGAGCAAACGGG
rnacentral:rRNA from 1 species